rnacentral:rRNA from 1 species
UACGUAGGAUCCAAGCGUUAUCCGGAAUCAUUGGGUUUAAAGGGUCCGUAGGCGGUUCUGUAAGUCAGUGGUGAAAGCCCAUCGCUCAACGGUGGAACGGCCAUUGAUACUGCAAGACUUGAAUUAUUGGGAAGUAACUAGAAUAUGUAGUGUAGCGGUGAAAUGCUUAGAGAUUACAUGGAAUACCAAUUGCGAAGGCAGGUUACUACCAAUAUAUUGACGCUGAUGGACGAAAGCGUGGGGAGCGAACAGG